AGCAAGAAUAUCUCAUUGUUUAGAUGAGGACAGCUGCCUUGCCAUAGUUUAGAAAACUCCAUGGGAGAAUUGAGAGAGACCUCGCAGCCAAUGAACAAAUCUCAAUGACAAUAGAGAACAACUACAACACUUACAAUUUUGAAGGGGAGAAGAGGACCCUUGGAGAUCCAUCGUACUUAUCUUGGAACAGAAACCCAGAUGGACAUUAGUGAAACUUUAAGCUCAAGUUGCAUUCAAAAGUUGGUAAAGUUACAAAUUUAGUUGCUCUAAAUCAAAGUCUGCCAAUCAUGUGCAAACAAUUUUCUUUGAGAAUUCUGUAAUCUGUAACUUCAAUAGAGACCAAAGGAAAUACAAUGUUAGAUCGUUGUGCAAA